rnacentral:rRNA from 1 species
GUCUAUGGCCAUACCACCCUGAACAUGCCCAAUCUCGUCUGAUCUCGGAAGCUAAGCAGGGCCGGGCCUGGUUGGUACUUGGAUGGGAAAAAGAGAAUUUAAGAUAGAACAAGUUCACAAUGGGGU